AGGCCAUAAAUGUGGUAUUUAUAUUUGACAGAUUGUUAAACUCCUACUGGUUCGUCGAAAUUGUGUCGCCUGUGUGCUGUGUAUACGUUCGACUGAACGAUCAAGUAAAGUUUGUAAACACAAAGAGGGCGCCACGAGCGCGCAACCGAAAAUGGACGAUCGAGUAUUGUUCACCUAUACACGACUACACACGUCGACGUUCAACGAGUAACCGAGAAAACCGAACUGUGGCUGCAGAUAUGCUAUACGAUCCGAUGGUAUUGUAACGAUAAUUGUGAAAAUUGAAGAGUCUCGCUUGAGCCCGUGGAGUGAGUGAAGUUUUACGUCAGUGUAUACGUCUCGUGGUUCGAUAUGCUCGGACAGCUCGGCGAAACUUGUUUCUGUCGAUACUCUCCCAUUGUAGUUAUACCUCAUACACGUAUAUCUCACGUUUUAUACACGUAUAUAAAUUACAAGUAUAUAUGCAAUCGUAAUGGAGAAUCGGCGGAGAGAAAACUAUUCUCGAUCUCCACUGCGGAACGAUUGCUAUCAGACUUUGCUCUCUGUGUGUCGGCGUCCACACGAUGUACUCUGAUCACCGCUCCGCAGCACCUUCAAUUCUCCUUUUCUGUACGUCAAACUUUUUCAACUAUCCUCUCUAACUCGAGUCCACAUCGCGAUGAACCAAUUGAAAAAUAAUAAUCGCAAAUUAAAUACGAAAGUGAUCAUAAUAAUUGAGUUAAUAGUUACAAUGAUCGAGUUUUCAGUGAAAAUGAAAAACUUUCCAAUUUCCCAACGUCUCUCACCGAGCCACGAUUUAUAUUCGACGUUUAUUUCCGUCUCUUGAAAGAAAAUCGAAAAUCCACGAGCCUGUCUACGAUUUUUCCACGAGGCUUUUUUCAACGUGACUGAACACUGAUAUAAUAUAUGUCGUAAAAGAAGCCAAAGCGUAAACGGAAAAUCGAGCGUCGGUCGAGGGCUCCCUCACGAAAACUUGUCGGUCGAUGAUUACUUCGUCACAGCGAGGCUUCAUGAUGCUAUCGCGGGCGUUUUUUCUCCCACACCGGAGGAUCCGAAGCAUUUUCGUCACGCCACGAAAUGAUCUUUCGAUGAUGGAGAAUCGUCCACAGUUUCAAGAGGAAAAAAACACUCGAACAGCGCAAAAAAUGUCAUGCCAAGCGAAAACCUUUUGUCGUUAGAAGGCUAGAGGUUCGCAUCGUCCAAGAGGUGAACAAAAGGGCUCGUUUCCGAGUACAUUAUUAUCUCGGAGAAGGAGAACAGGGAAUGUGCGUUGAAUUUCAAGGAGCUUCGAAGCGAUCGUUAUGAUGUUGAUUAAUUGAAACGAGGAGACUGCGGAACUCUUUGAAUGCGGCAUCGUUUCGAUGUUGUAACAGAACCGUGCGAUUGAAAUUGGAUCUCCACCAGCAUUAAUACAGUGAAAAUUGAUACGUUUUCUGUGCAACUCCAUAUAAUGGAAGAACGAAUCGGUAGAAUAAAUUUUUGAAAAGCUGAUGGAUCGUGAAACGGACUGGGAUAUACAGGAUUAAACAACAAAGAAGUAUUUUUAAAAAAUGAUUUCUUGAGUCGUGGAGGAAAGCCGCGAGAUAAAAGCGAGCAUGGGAUAUUCCCUUAAAAACAGUGAUAAAAAACAGCUGGAUUUUUCAGCCCGUUACCUUGUUCAAAGCCCUUGAAAAACUCGGACAAAGCCGGGAGACUGUCGUGGUGCGCGCAGCGAUAUUCAUGCAGGGACGAGAGUGCGCAAGAGUUUUAGUUUCUGCAUCCCAAGGCAAACUCCACGCUUCUGGGUACGAACAAAAAGUUGUUGCAAAUUUCGGAAAUUGCAUCAACCGCAAAAGCUGAUUUAUUUAUUGUUACGUCUUCGUGGAAAAUGGCACGAAAAGCCCGUCGGUGUACAGAGCAGCGGCUGCGAAAUGCUAAUUUUUUUCCGAGUCCUUCGUUUUUUAUUAUUCCUCAUAUCUCUCCUCUCCAUUCUUGUCAGCCUGCGGUGCCAGCAAGUCCAAUCAAAUCCAAUUUCUUUUCGUUUUUCGAAAUGAAGCAUCCCCCGUGGCUGUGAAUCGUUUGACGCGUCAACCGUGAAAAAUCUACCGUUUGAUUAUGUUUCUCUGCGGUGACUCUACAGAAAAACUAUUGGCCUCGUAUGAAUAUACAUCGCGGUUGUGCUGAACCCUGCGCUAGAGUACAUUCAUAUUUAGGAGAUGAAACCUCCACUCGAGAUCGAUCUGCAUACGCACUCUCACACUUUUUAUUGGCUUACGACUGAAAAAAAGUAUCAGUGCUUUGGCAAAUAUGGCGCUGUCGACGAAUGGAACUUUUGCUAUUAUGGCAACUAUCUUCUGAAGAGGAUUUCAUGAAAAAAGCGAUUGCAGCAAUCCCUCCGGUCGAGCGCUCUUCGACUAUAAAAACCGAGCACUCAUUUUAUCGUGUAAAUAUUCAUCUUACUUUGCACGCACGAACGAACGAGGCUCCGAAUCAACGUGAGGAUUAAAGUUUUAGAGCAACCCAAUGUAAUGUGAAAGGAAAUAACGAAAUUGACGAUUUUUUGUGCACACGAAUCCUUCAAGCUUUUCAUGCACUUUUUUGAAGCUGAGGAGUCAAGAAAACUUUGUUACUUACUCAAGCUUUACACGUGUCGGAAAAUAAUGGGCCAAAGUACAACUGGUUCACGCGCCUUAGUCGGCCACUGGCUGAAAUAGGUCCUGAGCAUCUUUUAAGAAAUCUGUCAUCGGCUGCUAUUGCGAAUAACAUCGAUCAAAUCCUGCAAAAUAUUUUCCCGAAGAAAUUUCAGGCCGAUGCGGCCAGAGCUAUGCGCUCUUCAUGCUCACCGAUUUAUAAACAACUGAAACAACUUGACGCACUUCAAACGGAAGAAUAUUUUAAAUCUAGACUCCCACUUGUGCUUCUGACAAUCACCGUUCAAAUCAGACUCACCGGACUUGAAAAAAUUAGUAUUUAAUGUAAUUAUGAAUUGGAAGACAACAGUCCUGUAUGUAAGAGUCAAGAAGCCGACACUUUGGCACACAUGUUGGUCAGCUGCCCAGGCUUUGAGCCCAUUCGAAACCACUAUUUUGGGACUCCAGAUUUUCCAAACACGGUUGUAGAGUUGAGCAUCGAAAAUGCCCGAAAAUUGGCAUAUUUCAUUGUAGAGUCAUGCAAUUUAAGGGCUUUGCCCGAGCAGACUAAUAAUUAUAAGGCGACAUGAGAUGAGCAAUUUAUGCAAAAAAAUGUCACAAUCUGUUAUCUCAAUGUAUUGUAAAUAUAAACUAACUAAACUAACUACUUAACGAAUGUUCUUAUGAAAAUGAAAAGCGAACUAUUGGGA